UUGUCACGUGUUUCCAUGUCGCGCCAGCCCGAGAAUGUUAAGAAUCCAGGUCGAGCAGGGAAACGAACAGCAGAGACAGUCAUGGCGGCGGAAACAAGGGAAGCCAAGACCCCAUCUCACGCUCGGAGGCCUUGGGACGGAAACAUACGCGAUGUCGUUUCCCUGUUGGUGUUUUGCCAAGGAGAAGGAGGAGAAAAGAUGCAAAUAUUGGCGUGGGAAGAUCAAAAUACCAUCACUCUACCGAGAAAAGAGAUCACAGCGCAGGAUACGAUUCAAGAGCGGGAGUCAGGAGGAGGUUCCUCAGGCACAGCUCUUGGCACUACCGCGGCACCCUCGCCUCUCCUCAUAUGGCCAAGGGAUGUAAGUUAUGAACUGGUUUCUAUCAGCCUAGCAGCUGAAGUACUGAAGAUGACUCCAAGCCAUAUCAACACACCGCAACUUGUCCAGCUCACGCGGAUCUAUGUCCCAUCUUUGCGCAGGCACUUCCAUCACUCUGUGUUUGCGAUUGAGGUCUCGAGUAAACAGUUGGAGAAGGUUCAAGAUUUAGAAGGGAGAGUUAGCCUUACUCUGCUAGAACUGAAGAAAAUGCCCCAAAGCAGGUUAGAGAGACGGAAUAUUGUCAAAGUAGCAGAAUAUGUUAACAGCCAGUUACGAGGGAAAAGUUGUGAUAUUGGAGCCUCUCUAAAGGAGAUCGGUCCUCAUCAGAUCUGGCACCAGGUUGAUUCCCAGCACAUGACCCCAGAUGAUCAGCUGCUUCGGUCCCCAGGCUACAGAGAACAAGAUAUUGAACUUUUGUAUGAAGAAUAUGUAAGGCGAAGCUACCCACAUUCUACAGUCUGUUUUAGAGACAUGAAGCCAUUUCUUACAGAUUUAGGAUGGAAGGAUAAGGAAGCUGAUAUAUUCAGGGCCAUGGAUGGGCAGAAGACGGGAGAGUUAGGGCCGAGGGAAUUCAUUCUUGGACUAACGGCAAUGGAUCCCAUGACCAGCCAUGGAAAAGGACCUGCAGAAAUACGAUGUCGUUAUAUAUUCAAGUACUAUGAUAAGAAUGAUGAUGGUCACCUUGAAGUAAGUGAGCUAAAGGAGUUGGUGAAGGACAUCGCUGAGCUCCAAGGUCUCGAUGUUACUCCCAAGACUCUGGAGGAAAGGACCAAGAAAGCUUUAGAAACUUUUGACAUUGAAGAUGAUUCAAAGUUAUCUCUCAACAACUUCCUUGUCUGCGUUGGUAACCUACGUUUCAGAGGAACGUCACUACUCCUCCGUGCUAAUAUGUCAAUCAUCCCACAUCUGGUACACAAGUAUGGACCGUCCAGCUCACAGAAAGUUCGCAGUCCCUUUAGAAGUCCGGCUUCUCCUGGUUUGGAGCGAAAGAAGUUCAGAAAAGGAUCCCAUACUGAUAGUGAAAGAGAUCCAACUGGUAGCUUUGUGUGUGAGAACAGUGCUGUCCGGACAUUUUUCUCAGAUUCAGAGUUAGACCAAGAUGUCGUUAUGAAGUCAGCUGAAAGCAGUUCUCCUGGUUCUAUUCCCCUUAGUGAUGGAGCCUUCCAGAGUCAAGAUUCUGGCAGUUACACCCUUGCACAUCACACAGUUAAAGUGCGGCGGUCUGGUCAGAUAACAGACAUUCACCUUUUGCUGGACAUGGAACGUGCUGGAGAAGUCUGUGACACUGGUUUUGACGUGGAUGAGAUGGUACCCUGUGACAGUAAUGGUGAGAUGCAGUCAAGCAGCAUGAUUGCUCCUGAAGUGCCCCAGUUACGCCAUAGGUUUUUUGACAGAUACCAGUCUGUUGAAGCCUUCAACCUGCGGUCACUCCCAAAUGAAAUGAUCACAGCUUUGCGAUUCUUCGAGCACGAAAAAAGUGGCAAGCCUUCCUUGAACUGGGGUGAAGUGGACAUGAUGAAGUUAGGCCAGUAUAUAAUCUCAAUGUGUGCUGCCAUUAAGGAUGUGUUUGAAAAUGAAUCACGUCUACUGUGGCUUUCUACUCCGUGCUAUAUUUUAGGUGACAUACAUGGCAAUUAUCGGGACCUGGUGUGUUUUGAGAAGGCACUUUGGAGGGUUGGUCCUCAUCUGACACCUGCCAACUUUUUAUUCCUUGGCGACUAUGUUGAUCGUGGGGAUUAUGGCAUUGAGGUUGUCUCAUAUUUAUUUGCUCAAAAGCUUCAGGCCCCUGGAAAAUUCUUCCUCUUGCGUGGCAAUCAUGAGGUUCGCGACAUCCAGAAAAUGUUCACCUUUCAUCAAUAUUUUGCAUCCAUGGAGGAAUCCCGAAGCUGGACGGCCAUGUGAAGGACCUAGAAAGAAUUCCGUGUCCGCUGCCAAACCCCGAAUCUCAAAGCAACUUGGCAUGGCAGAUGAUGUGGAAUGACCCAGUGGCAGCUGAAGAUCUGAAUGAUGAUGUGUCCGAGCAACUGAUGAACAACAGUGGAUUUGCCUUCAAUGAAAAGAGACAGACAGCUUACGUUUUCAACCAAGCAGCAUUUAAUGCAUUCCUAGAGAGAAACAACUUAACACAU
rnacentral:misc_RNA from 1 species